UGUUACAACAGGUAUCAACUAGUCAGAGAAGGUUUGUGAAAGUAGAGCAACAGAGUAUUGCGAGAACCACCAAUUCCCCAAAACAGAGGGGGGAAAGGGCAACUCUAUUUCCUUCAUCUAGUCUGCAGAGAAGACUUUCAGUGGGAUCACCUGGAAAACUUGGCAGGUAUUUUCCAAAGAUGAGAACAAACAAUGGACUAGAGUGUGACACCUGCCUGAGAAACCUAAUGGGUUCUUGUCCAUUGCAAUGUGACCAGCUGGACACUUCAAUUAUAGGAGCAAGGUCCCAGAGGUCAGAUUGCCAGACCCUCACUCCUCCAGGAGAAGCACCUGUCUGGUACUUUUGAACUGUCACUCAUCUAAGAAGAUUACUGACUUGGCCGCAGCAACUUCCUACUCAACGCAUCUCCAGAGACAAGGGAAACAAAAGCAAAAAUGAACUACUGGGACCUCAUCAAAAUAAAAAGCUUCUGCACAGUGAAGGAAACAAUUAGCAAA